GGGAAGGUGGCUCAGUGGUAGAGCGCUUGCCUUGCAUGCAUGAGGCCUUGGGUUCAGUUCCUCAGCACCCCA
rfam:Dipodomys ordii contig_50566, whole genome shotgun sequence.